rnacentral:rRNA from 1 species
GACGAACGCUGGCGGCGUGCUUAACACAUGCAAGUCGAACGGAGCGAAUGAAAGCUUGCUUUUAUGAGCUUAGUGGCAAACGGGUGAGUAACACGUAGACAACCUGCCGAUCAGAUGGGGACAACAUUCCGAAAGGAAUGCUAAUACCGAAUGGCGUGUAGGGGAGGCAUCUUCCCUACAUGAAAGAUGGCCUCUAUAUAUAAGCUAUCACUGAUCGAUGGGUCUGCGUCUGAUUAGCUAGUAGGUAAGGUAACGGCUUACCUAGGCGACGAUCAGUAGCCGGUCUGAGAGGAUGAACGGCCACAUUGGGACUGAGACACGGCCCAGACUCCUACGGGAGGCAGCAGUGGGGAAUCUUCCGCAAUGGGCGCAAGCCUGACGGAGCAACGCCGCGUGAGUGAAGAAGGUCUUCGGAUCGUAAAGCUCUGUUGAAGGGGACGAACGUAUAUAGUGCGAAUAGUGCUGUGUAAUGACGGUACC